AGAUAGUCCCGGGAAACCGGGUAAAGGUCGGAUUCUUUCCGGAGAGUCCCGCUCCUUCAGGUGAACGAUCUCGGUUGUUUCUCUGAAGGCAUGAUCACCCCGUCCGAUGCGGAAGUUCGUGCUUCCGUCGAACGCGAAAGUCGGACGGCGGCCAUGAGUCGCAACGCAAAGCCGCGGCAAGUGGAGUUAGCGAGAAGAGACUAGGCUUUGGUUUCUUCAAGUGAAGCGGUCACCAAUCAGGUGUGGUAGUUACCGUAAAAAAUCCGGAUUGAUUCGAGGCCCCGAGCGCCGACAUGGGCGCAGAGACCAGUACUCUUCGGAGUACAGGUUUCAAACGAGGCCUUGAGUGAGAUCGUGAAAGUUCGCCGUCGGGCGAAUGGAAGCGAAAAGUCGACCCCAAGCUGAAAAGCGAAGGGUCGAGUUGUUAAAAAAUGACCUGAGAGCAUGAGGCGAGACCCGUAGCGCAGGGCAAAACUUCCACGGGCAACCAUGAGAUCGGCUCUGUAAAAAAGGAGAGGGAGUUCAUGAACAGCAACCCCCACUUCCAGUGGAUCGAAGGCACGCCGCGAGGCGCCCCGACGAUUCGCCGAGAAGCCUCAGCUCGAAAUCAUCAGGAGUGAUCCAGAUGACGGUCCUGCCAUGAGACCGCAACGAGAGCAUGUCGCAUCGAAUGGACUCGGGGAGUCGGCAGCUUGCCCCACGGAUGAGCGCCUAAUGCCGGCAUUCGGGAACGAGCGCGUGGCGAACGCC
rnacentral:sRNA from 12 species